AUUGAACGCUGGCGGCAUGCCUUACACAUGCAAGUCGAACGGUAACAGGUCUUCGGAUGCUGACGAGUGGCGAACGGGUGAGUAAUACAUCGGAACGUGCCUAGUAGUGGGGGAUAACUACUCGAAAGAGUGGCUAAUACCGCAUGAGAUCUACGGAUGAAAGCAGGGGAUCGCAAGACCUUGUGCUACUAGAGCGGCCGAUGGCAGAUUAGGUAGUUGGUGGGAUAAAAGCUUACCAAGCCGACGAUCUGUAGCUGGUCUGAGAGGACGAUCAAGCACCCUUGAACUGAGACACGGCCCAGACUCGUACGGGAGGCAGCAGUGGGGAAUUUUGGACAAUGGGCGCAAGCCUGAUCCAGCAAUGCCGCGUGCAGGAUGAAGGCCUUCGGAUUGUAAACUGCUUUUGUACGGAACGAAAAGCCCUGGGUUAAUACCCUGGGGUCAUGACGGUACCGUAAGAAUAAGCACCGGCUAACUACGAGCCAGCCGCCGCCGUAAAAC
rnacentral:rRNA from 1 species